UCAGUGAUACAUGUAAGGAUUAGUCACCACCUUACAGUAAAUCUGUGUGGUGCUCGCUGGGGAUGUGUCUCUAUGGAGCUGUGCUCAGCAAGCUUUGUACACUGAGAAUGCAGAUGGAAUUUCAUUAUUUGCUGUAUUUUGAAUAGGACGAGGAGAUGUGUCUGAUAAGAUACGUCACUUUGAGAUCACAGAAUGAAAGCAGCAUGAAAUGUUAUGGCAAAGACAGCACAAGAAGACACAAGAAUCUCACAAAUCCUCAAAAAUCAGGUGCUUGGCACACUAAACUUACUGAUCUGUGUAGGAUUUGUGCUGUGGUCCAUUCAUUGAAGAUGUGAAACAACAUCAAGUCUGAGAUUGGAGUUACUGACAGACUGGAGGAAAUUUUAGUCCUUGUGAUGCACGUGGACAUGCUGAAUUAUAAGUAAUUCUAGCUUCUUGUCCCCUCCCCUCCCUUCCCCUCACUCAGCUAUCUCAGGGUUCAUAGAGAUUUCAAUGGUUUGUGUGCCUGUAAGUU
rnacentral:lncRNA from 1 species